UACGUAGGGGCAAGCGUUGUCCGGAUUUAUUGGGCGUAAAGAGCGUGUAGGCGGCCAGACAGGUCCGUUGUGAAACUCGAGGCUCAACCUCGAGACGCCGAUGGAAACCGUCUGGCUAGAGUCCGGAAGAGGAGAGUGGAAUUCCGUGGAUGUAGCGGUGAAAUGCGCAGAUAUCAGGAAGAACACCCGUGGCUAAGGCGGCUCUCUAGUACGGUACUGACGCUGAGACGCGAAAGCGUGGGGAGCGAACAGG
rnacentral:rRNA from 1 species